AUCUACGGCCAUACCACCCUGAACGCGCCCGAUCUCAUCUAUCUUGGAAGCUAAGCAGGGUCGGGCCUGGUUAGUACUUGGAUGAGAGACAAUAGACAAUGAAUAUA
rnacentral:rRNA from 1 species